GGGAGUUUGGCUGUGAUAAUUAGGUUUGUUUGAUGAUAAGAUAUUAUUAGAGAGUCGACUUUGGCGAGGGCCCUUCCAAGUCCUUUGGUUUUGGGGAGCAUAAAAGACAAGUGGCCUCCUUAAUACAUGUUAGUGGACAAUGGCGAGAGGGGCGAUAGAGCGUGCGAACAGGUGAGGAAAUCCGGAGGCUAAGUUUGGGGGCUGGGCCGGGGUCGUAUUAGGUAGAAGGCGGUAUGGUGGACCCCCUUGCCGAAGAUGCGUAGCUUUAACUUGAAGCCACAGUUUCACUGAGACAAGGGGAAGAUUCAGAGGUGGGCGUAAAGCCCACGGGGCAGCAGUAAAGAAUUUUGUGCAAUAUCCGAAAGGAAGACACAGGGAGGAGACAUUUAUUUGAUCCGUCAAAUUAAGUGCCAGCAGACGCGGUGAAACUUAGGGGUUGGUCUUAUAGGAAAGGCGUAAGGAGUGUGAGCGGGGUUUUUGUUGUUGAAGAGGGUAAAUGGAAUUUCUCUGUAAUGGUGACAUGUAUUAAUAGAAAAAAGAAUUUUAGAUGUGAAGGAAAUUUAUCUCUCGGGAGCGGGCUGGGGGCUUUCGCCUAGCCCGCCCCCCCCCCUUAAUAAGGCUGUUAUACGAGGGGGUCUGGCGGAAAUACGAAGGUAUGGGGAGCAAACAGGAUUAGAGAUCCUGGUAGUCCAUACUGUAAAUAAUGAAGAAGAUGUGAUGCAACCCUAAAAGGUAAUAAAUUUUUCGCUUGAGUAGUACGAUCGCAAGAUUAAAAUUCAAAAAGCUUGGCUGUUCACUGUUUUAAUUAGAGGAGCGUGUUGUUUAAUUCGAUAGUCCGCGAGAUACCUCACCCAAACUUGAAUUCGCCCCUUGACAGGUAUUGCAUGGCCGUCGUCAGUUUGUGUGUAAAACAUAAAACCGAUUUAACCCUGUGGAUUCGUUUAUUGGAUGAAGUCAGGUCUUAUUGUCCUAAUGUUUGGGGAUUAGAUGCGCUACAUUUUUUUAUACAAUGGGAGACUUUAAAGGUGAAACCCUAAAGUGAGAGUUCGGAGGGCGUCUGGAAGACAACUGAAAGUUGUAUUUAAUAGUAAUUGGAAAGUAGAGCGUUCUGGUGAAAUUGGUCCAGUGUUAGUACAAAUUGCCCGUCGCCUUUGCUUAGAAUGGUGGUUUGAAUGCCUCUUAUUGUAAGGGCUACGAGCGCCUACGAGGCAGAGUAAGUCGUAACAUAGUGAGGGUGGGGGAACUGGCUCUUG
rnacentral:rRNA from 1 species